UCUUCUUCUCUACAGCAAUUCUGCAAAAUGUUCUGGAAGAUGCAAGAUGGUUUUAACUUAAUCCAAUUGUCCAAUUGAUGAUUAACUACUACCGUUAUUGUUCUUCAUACCGCUAUAAAUAUCUCCAACCGAACAUGAGUUCAAAAUUGGAGUUGGGUUGAUAUGCAACGAAGAUUAGAUAACUGCAACCAGUUCUUUAUCUAGUGGGAGAUAAAGAAGAGAUAUACUACCUAAAGAUAAAAAUUGGGUUCCUUCAUUUUUACCUAAAGAAGUUGAGAAAUUUAAAGACCCAUUUGCUAGAAUCUUUUUUAAAUGAUUGAUAGACUACCAAUACAGGUUGGGUUUUUCCAUAUCCAUUUAUAUCCCUGCUGUUCUUCAUCAUAAUUUUACAUAGCUUUUAAUUUUUAUGAAUCUCUUCUUGUUUUAGUGACUUUAAUUUCAGCUAACUUAAUCAAAUCUUAGUUACCGUGCAGCAUUGUAGUCUCAGUGUUUGUGAAAUUAUCUAUGAGAACAGUUUUUGUUCCUGAUCUUUUAUUGAUGGGCUUUUGUUAUAGGUUCUCUCCGUGAUGUUAGGUAAAUUAGUUCAUCCAGAUAUAAACAAGUAAGGAUAUUGUGUUUGAUAAUGAUAUUGUGAAAGGUUCUAUUUUGGGGUGUGGUUUGAUUUUGUUUUGAUUAGUGUAGACUCCAUUAAAUAAGGAUGCAUUGCAUAGAACGUUGAUUGUGUACAUAUGUUGAUUCAAGCAGGAGCUAAUGUAUGUAUAAAUGACAAUUUUUUUUGAUGUUUUAUUUUACUAAGAUUUUGAGUGUAUAUGAUAUUAACCAGAUGCAAAGGUUCUACUAGUAAGGGAUCUUAUUGAAGCUAACAAUGAGAGGGAGAAGAAUAUAACUGAAGGAACACCUUACUCGCUUCCAUCCCGAUCGCAUUCUGGUGUCUAGGUUGAUGACAAUAUGUCCGAGGUAAUCAUUUCCUCCCAUUGGAAACUAGUAAAUUCACAAUAUAUGCAGAUAUAAUAGGUUCUUUAUACAUUUUGUUUAUUAGCUAUGAUCGAGUUCAGUCAUAGAUAACUUAAAGCAAAGUAGAAGAAGGCAUUGCUUACCUUAACCUGGAAUGCAGUCAUGUAACCUGUGAGUAAGAUAUCAGAACUUGCAGGUCACAAAUUCUAAACGUGACUGCUUAUAUAGUGGUUACUAUUCAGCUUAGAUCUCGUAGAACUUGCAUUGUUUUAUACAGCAAUUGAUCCGCGUACCCAAUUUAUUUUAUACAAUCUUUUCAUUAUGGUACCCUGUUAAUUUUAUAGACCGUCUGAAAUAUAAUACAUAUUUAAAUGAAUGCGUCGUCGCGGAUUAGGAAAUAUUUAAACCUACCAAUUCUUAGUAAAGCAACUCUACUGGAGGACAAGGUUUAGAAGCAACACAACUACAACAGUACAUUGUACAUGUGCUCUUUACCCAUCUCUUUAUAUCUCUCAUUUUCAAUUUUUUUUAUGUAUAUUGUCGUGGGCUUCUUACAUUAACUAGAUGCCAAAGUUGUACAACAGAAUGGUUCACUAUGUUGCUGGGAUGGCAGUAAACGUGAUAAGUUCACUGAUAUUUAUCACUGUUGAAAACCGAGGAUUAUUUUCAUACACGGUGCGAGGUCAAAGAUUAUGGAGUGCUGGACCUGUUCUUUAUAGAUAUGGUUACCAUGUAGGCUGCAGUUUUAUUGGGAACUUAGAUCUCUGUGAUCCUCAGAUUAUGAAACCCUAUCAAGGUUCACUGGUGUUUCCUGCAAUGUUACUACACAGUCCUCAUGCUGAAAGUGAAGAAGCACCAUGCAGGUUGCAGAUCGUAUAAUUACUCAGCAUCUCAAGGAUCCGUAUUGGAGCAAUAUCAGCAAUGGGUCUAGCCACUGUUACAGUGUUUUGUUUCUUUUGGAUUCGCUUAUUGGCAAAGAAAGAAAGAGCAGCAAAAAGAUAAAUGAAGUCAAGAAACAAACAACAAUGGAUGAACGAACUAAAGUGGUCCUAUUCCAUGGCGAUCUUCCAUAUUCUUCGAGUGAUAUAGUAGAAAAGCUCGAGUCACUUGAUGUUGAGGAUGUGCUUGGAUCUGGAGGAUUUGGUACCGUAUACACGAUGAUGAUGAAUGAUCGUACUAGAUUUGUUGUUAAAGGGAAUCGAUAAUUGUCUAGCAUUAAACAUGUAAACCUUGUCAAUUUGCGAGGUUAUUGCCAGUUUCCUUGCUUGUGAUAUAUGAUUAUCUAAUAUUGGGAAAAUUAGAUCAUUUCCUGCAUGAAACCUUUCAAGGGAAUUAAACAACCCUUGAAGUGGAAUACUCGGUUAAGGAUGACUCUUGAUUCUGCUCGAGGACUGGCAUACUUACGCCAUGAUUGUUGUCCAGGGAUUUUUCACCGCAACAUUAACAACCAAUACCCUCGUUGAUCAAAACUGGAGCCACAUAUCUCUGAUUUUGGUCUUGUCAGCGUUUGGCAGAUGAGGACACCCAUGUAACCACUGUAGUUGCAGGCACUUUCAGUUACUUGGCACCAGGUGUCUUUAGGAGGUGCACAACAAUUUUUUUGGAGACGCAUUAAAUGCAGAAUGCAUAGAUAUAAGUGAUGCAGUAAAUUGGUGCUGGAAGCUAGAGAUAAAGGAUGUAUUGAUAGAGACAUGCUUGAAAGGAAUAAUUGACUUUUAUGCUGGAAAUGUCAACACCAUCUCAUAGCCUUACUCAGAUGUCCUUGUCGAUACUGCAGUGAAACUUUAAGUCUUUCAAUUCAUGAAACUAUAUGUUCUUUAAUAGAAACUGAAAUAAGCCAGAUGAUUGCGCGGCUAAGUUAAGUAGGAAAUGUCAUGUGUCUUUAGAUUGGUCAGAUAGACCUCCAGAUGACAUUUCUAAUUUUUUAGUAUGCUCUUAAAACUUCUUUGCAUCAAAAAUUAAUAAAGUCAGUA